rnacentral:rRNA from 1 species
GGCCUAACACAUGCAAGUCGAACGGCAGCACAGGAGAGCUUGCUCUCUGGGUGGCGAGUGGCGGACGGGUGAGGAAUACAUCGGAAUCUACUCUGUCGUGGGGGAUAACGUAGGGAAACUUACGCUAAUACCGCAUACGACCUACGGGUGAAAGUGGGGGGACCGCAAGGCCUCACGCGAUUGAAUGAGCCGAUGUCGGAUUAGCUAGUUGGCGGGGUAAAGGCCCACCAAGGCGACGAUCCGUAGCUGGUCUGAGAGGAUGAUCAGCCACACUGGAACUGAGACACGGUCCAGACUCCUACGGGAGGCAGCAGUGGGGAAUAUUGGACAAUGGGCGCAAGCCUGAUCCAGCCAUACCGCGUGAGUGAAGAAGGCCCUCGGGUUGUAAAGCUCUUUUGUUGGGAAAGAAAUCCUGCCGGUUAAUACCUGGCAGGGAUGACGGUACCCAAAGAAUAAGCACCGGCUAACUUCGUGCCAGCAGCCGCGGUAAUACGAAGGGUGCAAGCGUUACUCGGAAUUACUGGGCGUAAAGCGUGCGUAGGUGGUUGUUUAAGUCUGUCGUGAAAGCCCUGGGCUCAACCUGGGAAUUGCGAUGGAUACUGGGCAACUAGAGUGUGGUAGAGGGUGGCGGAAUUCCCGGUGUAGCAGUGAAAUGCGUAGAGAUCGGGAGGAACAUCCGUGGCGAAGGCGGCCACCUGGGCCAACACUGACACUGAGGCACGAAAGCGUG